rnacentral:tRNA from 1 species
GCGGGUAUAGUUCAAUGGUAGAACAUCAGCCUUCCAAGCUGAGUAUGCGAGUUCGAUUCUCGUUACCCGCUCCA